rnacentral:Y_RNA from 1 species
GGCCAGUCUGAGUGCAGUUGUGUUUACAACUAAUUGAUCACAGCCAGUUACCGAUUCCUUUGUUCCUUUCUCCAUUCCCACUGCUUUGCUUCACUAGCAAUUU